UGCUGUUGAGGUGUCCCUGUGUGUCCCUACAACUGUACCUGAUUUAGUUCAUAUUGUGCCAGGCAGGGGCGUAGCUAGGGAAAAGGGGCCCCGUGUUCACCUCUCUCUCUUGAGGCCCCUUGGAGUGAAGGAGAUAAUGAAGAAGCUAGGGAGGGGUGGAUCUGGGAGGUCCUCAAGAACUCGAGGGCCUGGAUUCUUUGAACCCAUCCACUUAAUUAUUGCUACACCCCUCCGUCCAGGCAUUGUGAAGUUGAUAGAGACACACACACGGUCGGACACAUGGACACUCACAUGGAAUUUCAGGAUUAAGGUGAGAGUGGAUCCAAGAGAAUAAAAAGAAACCAAGAGCAUUGACUAAGUUUGCCUCUUCAUAUCAGUCUGUUUAAACCAGAAGAUUGGUGAAGAUCUGAAGAACUGUACCCAGGACAUAAUGUUCAAUGUUUUAUUUUUUCAGUGUUUUUCCAUAUCUCAUUUUAUUCUGCCUGUAGCCUUUAAAAGCUCCCCCACUCUUGCUCUCUUUUUCUUUUUCUUUUCAUUUAUCUUUUUCAAAUUAUACCAGUAUAAAGGCAUUUAUUUAUGUAUCCUGCUCAUUUUUCUGUUGUCUUUUCCUGUCUAUGUCUUCUUCUGAAGUUGUGUGUGAUUGUGCACAUAUAUGCAUACAUGCAUGUGCAUGUUUUUGGGGAAAGAAGGUCUUGACAGAGAGAGAAAGGGGAGAAUAUCUGGUAGGGGGAAAGAAUGCAUAAUAUUAAUGUCUCUUAUGCUUCAUUUUAAAUUGGAUACUUUCUGUAGCAAUUUUGUAAAUGGAAUGUGAAUGCAAAUGCUAUAUUUUCUUUGGAAUUUUAGACUUCCUAUCAACAAGAUGUUAUCUGUCAGAUUAAGUUAUAUAUUAAGCUGUGUUAAUAAAUUAGUGAGUUUUGUAUCAAG